AUUAAUAUUUCAUCUCUCGCAGAAAGACUGGCCGAUUCCCUAGGAACAGAACAUUGCUGGGUAAGACCAGCUAUGGUGACUAGAUACAGGUCCUGAUUCGUUCCUGUCGGAUCAUCAUGCCUCGGAUAAAUGUAGUGUCAACUGUCCCAGGGGCCGAAUCGGUUGUGAAACAAUUAUUAUGUGAACCCGUUGUUGCAGUUUCAUGCCAAGGAAAACGGCAUAUAAAUGAGCUGACGUCCAUCACCACCCGUGUCCAUUCUGGGGCCCUGUACGUGUUCGAUGUGAAAUCGUGUCCAACUAUCGUGCUAGCUGGCGGACUGAUAAGGUUAUUCCAGUCAGUGGAGCUAGUAAAGGUUUUUCAUGACAUCAGCAUAGACAGCAAAUUUCUCCACCCGUACGGCAUUACAAUACGCAACUAUUUCGACACUCAGGUCGGUUACUCUGUUCUUCUGGAGCAAAAGGGAUUUCCUCCAAGGAAGAUAACUCUGCCUCAACUUUUGGGCGAAACGUCCCCUGUCGCGGCCCAUGCUGAUCACGUGUGCCGCAUCGGUGAUGGAGCUGGAGACUUUGUACACCUGUCUCGCCGGUCAGUUGGAUCCCGACAUGUGGGAUUGGUUUGACUGUAUGAGUGAAGAGAAUCGCCUCGCACUGACCCAGAGGGCACGGAUCCAGUCAGUGAAGUCCGCCCGGAGAAGGGAAGAAUUUCUGGAUCACCUGUACGAGUACCCCAUCACGCGGCUGACGGAGGAAGAACGACAACUCUUGUCUGACUCGUUCCCGGAGACGCAUAUUUCCUAACCUGUGAUCAAAUAAUGCAAUAUUAAUGUGGCUGUUUAAUUUUGAUGCAUAAUAUUUUAAUGAGAAAAGAUGUCUGUUAAAAGCAUUGUAAAAAAUGAAUUAAAAACUUUUAAUCCUCUAAUUAACUUAAAGCGUGAACAAUGAAUUAUCAGAAUGACUUUUGAAUUUCAGUGCAU
rnacentral:misc_RNA from 1 species